UUUGUUAGUUGCUAUGGGCGUUCGGUGGAUGUCUUGGCACGAGUGGCUGAUGAAGGACGUGGCGGCCUGCGUUAUUCCCUGGGGAGUUGGCGAGCGAGCGUUGAUCUGGGGGUUUCCGAAUGGGGUAACCUAGUCUCUUUUUUGGGGGCUACUGCAUGCUGAAUUGAUAGGUGUGUGGGAGGUACGAGGGGAAGUGAAACAUCUUAGUACCCUUAGGAGAAGAUAUUUCGUGAGUAGUGGUGAGCGAAAGCGGAUGAUGGCUAAACCGUGUGCGUGUGAUACUCGGCAGGGGUUGCGUGUGCGGUGUUGUGGGGUCUUUUUGUUGCUUGUCUGCCGGCGAGUGGAUUCCGGGAUGAUUGUUUUGGUGAAGGGUUUGGAAUGGCCUGCCGUAGUGCGUGAGAGUCGUGUAGUCUUUGAUGAUUGUUCUGGUUUGGAAAAGGUGCCCGAGUAGUGCGGGGCUCGUGGAAUCUCGUGUGAAUCUGCCCAGACCACUGGGUAAGCCUGAAUACUUACUUGUGACCGAUAGUGGAUUAGUACCGUGAGGGAAUGGUGAAAAGUACCCCGGGAGGGGAGUGAAAUAGUUCCUGAAACCGGGCGCUUACAAGCCGUCAGAGCCUGUUUUGUUGGGUGAUGGCGUGCCUAUUGAAGAAUGAGCCUGCGAGUUAGUGGCAUGUGGCUUGGUUAACCCGUGUGGGGUAGUCGUAGCGAAAGCGAGUCUGAUAAGGGCGUUUGGUCGCGUGUUCUAGACCCGAAGCGGGGUGAUCUACGCAUGGUCAGGUUGAAGCUAUGGUAAGACGUGGUGGAGGACCGAACCCACUUCAGUUGAAAAUGGAGGGGAUGAACUGUGCGUAGGGGUGAAAGGCCAAUCAAACUCCGUGAUAGCUGGUUCUCCCCGAAAUGCAUUUAGGUGCAGCGUUGAGUUUAGGUUUGUGUGAGGUAGAGCUACUGGUUGGUUGAUGGGUCUUGUUGGUUACUGAGACCAGCCAAACUCCGAAUGCGCAUUAAACUGUUGCUUGGCAGUGAGACAGCGGGGGAUAAGCUUCGUUGUCAAAAGGGAAACAGCCCAGAUCGCCGGUUAAGGCCCCUAAGGGUGUGCUUAGUGGGAAAGGAUGUGUAGUUGCUGUGACAGCCAGGAGGUUGGCUUAGAAGCAGCCAUCCUUGAAAGAGUGCGUAAUAGCUCACUGGUUUAGUGAUUGCGCGCCGAUAAUUUAGCGGGGCUUAAGCAUACCGCCGAUACCGUGGCUUCCACAUUUUGCUGGCUGCCUUUUUUUGGGUGGUUGGUUUGUGGUUGGGUAGGGGAGCGUCCUGCAUGAGGUGAAGUUUCGGAGUGAUCCGGGGUGGAUUGUGUGGGAGUGAGAAUGCAGGCAUGAGUAGCGAUUGGAAAGUGAGAAUCUUUUCCGUCUUAUAACUAAGGGUUCCAGGGGUAGGUUCGUCCGCUCUGGGUUAGUCGGGUCCUAAGGCGAGGCCGUCAGGCGUAGUCGAUGGUUAACCAGUUUUUAUUCUGGUACCGGCAUUAUUCUCGUUCAGUGGCGAGGCGCAUAGUACUAACCAAUAUUGUUUCUUGGGAUUUCCUUUUUGGUUUUUCUUUGGGAUGGUCUUGGGACCGAUGUGUGUAGUAGUCAAGCGUGUUAACAGGGGUGACGCAGUUAGAUAGCCUUGCGUCGCGGUGGUUUGCGGCGUUCAAGCAUGUGGCCUAUCGGGUUGGUAAAUCCGCUCGUGUUUGGG
rnacentral:rRNA from 1 species